rnacentral:rRNA from 1 species
UACGUAGGGGUGCGAGCGUUGUCCGGAAUUAUUGGGCGUAAAGAGCUUGUAGGCGGUUUGUCGCGUCUGCUGUGAAAAUCCGGGGCUCAACCCCGGACUUGCAGUGGGUACGGGCAGACUGGAGUGUGGUAGGGGAGACUGGAAUUCCUGGUGUAGCGGUGGAAUGCGCAGAUAUCAGGAGGAACACCGAUGGCGAAGGCAGGUCUCUGGGCCACUACUGACGCUGAGAAGCGAAAGCAUGGGGGAGCGAACAGG